ensembl:misc_RNA Metazoa_SRP Metazoan signal recognition particle RNA
GCCAGGUGUGGUGGCUCACGCCUGUAAUCCCAGCACUUCAGGAGGCCGAGGCGGGUGGGUCACCUGAGGCCAGGAGUUCAAGACCAGCCUGGCCAACAUGGUGAUACUCCGUCUCUA